UAAUACGGAGGAUGCGAGCGUUAUCCGGAUUUAUUGGGUUUAAAGGGUGCGUAGGCGGAACAAUAAGUCAGUGGUGAAAUUCUGCAGCUUAACUGUAGACUUGCCGUUGAUACUGUUGGUCUUGAGUAUGGUCAAGGCAGGCGGAAUGUGUAAUGUAGCGGUGAAAUGCUUAGAUAUUACACAGAACACCGAUUGCGAAGGCAGCUUGCUGGGCCAUUACUGACGCUGAUGCACGAAAGCGUGGGGAUCGAACAGGAUUAGAUACCCUGGUAGUCCACGCAGUAAACGAUGAUCACUCGCUGUUGGCGAUACACAGUCAGCGGCUAAGCAAAAGCAUUAAGUGAUCCACCUGGGGAGUACGGCCGCAAGGCUGAAACUCAAAGGAAUUGACGG
rnacentral:rRNA from 1 species